GGUCAUACAGUCAAUUAAACAGUAAUGUAGUCUCAAUCAUACUUACAAGAGCUUUAACAUGUAGGGAAUUACUUGGGGACUAAAACGAAACAUUCCACAAAAUAGUGAAAAAACAGUUGAAUAGGGGUCACAUGGCCGUGUGAGGGGGUAUAGAUCGUGUUUUUGAGAUACAUGUUCGUGUGGUCAGGCCAUGUAACUCACUGUAGCCGUGUGCAAAUUGAUAACUUUUCCCAACAAUGGUCACAUGGCC
rnacentral:lncRNA from 1 species